CUCCUGCACCAAAGGCAAAACCAGAUUUUAGAUUUCUGUGUCUUCUUCAGCAUGACGAGGAAGCAGGAGGGACUGUUCUCAAGGCCAGCCUGAACAGGUGAGUUUUCAGCUGCUUCUUAAAGAGCAUGUCAAGUGUGCCUCAGAGUCGUACCCCACCCACGUAUCAAUUUUAAAAACUGCAACAUUAGUAGGCGUUGCCUGGAGGACCGAGAGGGCGGAGCCGCGGCAGUGACGAAAUGAUGGCUAACUAGACGAUGCUAGCUCCCUUCACUCUGAGCAGUUAUUAGAAGUGGAGGCCGUUUCUCCCCCUCCUUACACAGACACUCGAGAAGAAAGGGACCAAGUCUAUUUGGAGGAGACAAGCGGACCUGAGCCUUAUUGUUUUGAGCUUGUGAGUUGCCUGAAAUUACCGGAACCGACCCAACAGAACCUGCUUUGAAUGGUGGUCCUCUGGUGUCUGCAGCUGGUCUCCUCUGCUGGUGUCGUCAGGAUCAGGAGCUUCCAGAAGAAUGUGCCUUUCAAUGACUCUUUCCCCCUUAUUUGUUAUAUUAAUUAAAUAAAUCUCAAUUUAUAUA